rnacentral:rRNA from 1 species
GAGGGGCAGCAUGAAGUUUGCUUGCAAACUUUGAUGGCGACCGGCGCACGGGUGAGUAACGCGUAUCCAACCUUCCCUAUAGUAGAGAAUAGCCCGGCGAAAGUCGGAUUAAUGCUCUAUGUUAUUCAAAGCGGACAUCUAAUUUGAAUCAAAGGUUCACCGCUAUAGGAUGGGGAUGCGUCUGAUUAGCUUGAUGGCGGGGUAACGGCCCACCAUGGCGACGAUCAGUAGGGGUUCUGAGAGGAAGGUCCCCCACAUUGGAACUGAGACACGGUCCAAACUCCUACGGGAGGCAGCAGUGAGGAAUAUUGGUCAAUGGGCGAGAGCCUGAACCAGCCAAGUAGCGUGCAGGAUGACGGCCCUAUGGGUUGUAAACUGCUUUUAUGCGGGGAUAAAGUCGGCUACGCGUAGCCGUUUGUAGGUACCGCAUGAAUAAGGACCGGCUAAGUCCGUGCCUGCAGCCGCGGUAAUACGGAAGGUCCGGGCGUUAUCCGGAUUUAUUGGGUUUAAAGGGAGCGCAGGCCGGAGGUCAAGCGUGACGUGAAAUGUAGCCGCUCAACGGCUGAGUUGCGUCGCGAACUGGUUUCCUUGAGUGAGUACGACGUCAGCGGAAUUCGUGGUGUAGCGGUGAAAUGCUUAGAUAUCACGAAGAACCCCGAUUGCGAAGGCAGCUGACGAGUCCUUUACUGACGCUAAAGCUCGAAGGUGCGGGUAUCGAACAGGAUUAGAUACCCUGGUAGUCCGCACGGUAAACGAUGGAUGCCCGCUGUUUGCGAUAUAUUGUAAGCGGCCAAGCGAAAGCGUUAAGCAUCCCACCUGGGGAGUACGCCGGCAACGGUGAAACUCAAAGGAAUUGACGGGGGCCCGCACAAGCGGAGGAACAUGUGGUUUAAUUCGAUGAUACGCGAGGAACCUUACCCGGGCUUGAACUGCAGGAGAACGAUCCAGAGAUGGUGAGGCCCUUCGGGGCUCCUGUGGAGGUGCUGCAUGGUUGUCGUCAGCUCGUGCCGUGAGGUGUCGGCUUAAGUGCCAUAACGAGCGCAACCCCUUUCCCCAGUUGCCAUCAGGUGAUGCUGGGCACUC